GGUUCCCAAACCAGUCCUCAUGGCCCACCAACAAUCCAGGAUUUAUGUAUUUCCCUUUUUUUAUUCCAAUGGAGAUAAUGGCAAAACCUGGACUGUUGGUGGGCCAUGAGGACUGGUUCGGGAAC